rnacentral:misc_RNA from 1 species
ACGAACGGAACGGUGCGCGACGCGCGCGGAUUGACCUCUAGCACGUAGAUCUCGCCGUCCUUGAUGGCGUACUGCACGUUCAUCAGGCCGACGACGUCGAGGCCGAGCGCGAGUUCGCGUGUCUGGCGUUCGAGUUCGGCAAUCACCGCAGGCUCGAGCGAAUGCGGCGGCAGCGAGCAGGCCGAGUCGCCGGAGUGAAUGC